rnacentral:lncRNA from 1 species
AGAAAGAGAUCCCGCCUAACUCAACCUAUAGAGAAGAGACAUGUGUCGUCCUCUCGGUAGUUCUAUCCGUAUGAAAAACGCUUUCAUGUUAUCAUCCAGUGAACUCAACCCUAUCCUUCAUUCACUUACACCUGUCCUUAAUUUCUUCUUGACCAAAAAUCCAAAAAGAAAAAGAACAAAAAAAAAAGAAAGAGAAGAAUUUGGC